GCCAGACUCCUACGGGAGGCAGCAGUGGGGGAUAUUGCACAAUGGGGGAAACCCUGAUGCAGCGACGCCGCGUGAGUGAAGAAGUAUUUCGGUAUGUAAAGCUCUAUCAGCAGGGAAGAAGAAAGACGGUACCUGAGUAAGAAGCCCCGGCUAACUACGUGCCAGCAGCCGCGGUAAUACGUAGGGGGCAAGCGUUAUCCGGAUUUACUGGGUGUAAAGGGAGCGUAGACGGUAUGGCAAGUCUGAAGUGAAAGCCCCGGGCUCAACCUGGGAACUGCUUUGGAAACUGUUAAACUAGAGUGCUGGAGAGGCAGGCGGAAUUCCUAGUGUAGCGGUGAAAUGCGUAGAUAUUAGGAGGAACACCGGUGGCGAAGGCGGCCUGCUGGACGGCGACUGACGUUGAGGCUCGAAAGCGUGGGGAGCGAACAGGAUUAGAUACCCGUGUA
rnacentral:rRNA from 1 species